GACGAACGCUGGCGGCGUGCUUAACACAUGCAAGUCGAACGGAAAGGCCCCCUUGUGGGGUACUCGAGUGGCGAACGGGUGAGUAACACGUGAGUAACCUACCCUUGACUUUGGGAUAACUUCAGGAAACUGGGGCUAAUACCGGAUAGGAGCUCCUGCUGCAUGGUGGGGGUUGGAAAGUUUCGGCGGUUGGGGAUGGGCUCGCGGCUUAUCAGCUUGUUGGUGGGGUAGUGGCUCACCAAGGCUUUGACGGGUAGCCGGCCUGAGAGGGUGACCGGCCACAUUGGGACUGAGAUACGGCCCAGACCCCUACGGGAGGCAGCAGUGGGGAAUAUUGCACAAUGGGCGGAAGCCUGAUGCAGCAACGCCGCGUGCGGGAUGACGGCCUUCGGGUUGUAAACCGCUUUCGCCUGUGACGAAGCGUGAGUGACGGUAAUGGGUAAAGAAGCACCGGCUAACUACGUG
rnacentral:rRNA from 1 species